rnacentral:rRNA from 1 species
GACGAACGCUGGCGGCGUGCUUAACACAUGCAAGUCGAACGGAAAGGCCCUGCUUUUGUGGGGUGCUCGAGUGGCGAACGGGUGAGUAACACGUGAGUAACCUGCCCUUGACUUUGGGAUAACUUCAGGAAACUGGGGCUAAUACCGGAUAGGAGCUCCUGCUGCAUGGUGGGGGUUGGAAAGUUUCGGCGGGUGGGGAUGGACUCGCGGCUUAUCAGCUUGUUGGUGGGGUAGUGGCUUACCAAGGCUUUGACGGGUAGCCGGCCUGAGAGGGUGACCGGCCACAUUGGGACUGAGAUACGGCCCAGACUCCUACGGGAGGCAGCAGUGGGGAAUAUUGCACAAUGGGCGGAAGCCUGAUGCAGCAACGCCGCGUGCGGGAUGACGGCCUUCGGGUUGUAAACCGCUUUCGCCUGUGACGAAGCGUGAGUGGCGGUAAUAGGUAAAGAAGCACCGGCUAACUACGUG